rnacentral:rRNA from 1 species
UACGUAGGGGGCGAGCGUUGCCCGACUUUACUGGGCGUAAAGCGCACGUAGGCGGCUUCGUAAGUCUGGUGUGAAAUCUCACGGCUCAACCGGGAGGCUGCACCAGAUACUGCGAAGCUCGAGGACGGGAGAGGAGAUCGGAAUUCCCGGUGUAGCGGUGAAAUGCAUUGAUAUCGGGAGGAACACCAGUGGCGAAGGCGGAUCUCUGGCCCGUUGCUGACGCUGAGGUGCGAAAGCUGGGGGAGCAAACGGG